GACAGAGGUGCCAAGCGUUAGGCGGAAUCACUGGGCUUAAAGCGUGUGUAGGCGGAAUGGUAAGUACCUUGUGAAAUCCCACGGCUCAACCGUGGAACUGCUUGGUAUACUGCUUUUCUUGAGCCACUUAGGGGCAACCGGAACAAACGGUAGAGCGGUGAAAUGCGUAGAUAUCGUUUGGAACGCCAAUGGUGAAAACAGGUUGCUGGGAGUGUGCUGACGCUGAGACACGAAAGCCAGGGGAGCAAACGGG
rnacentral:rRNA from 1 species